GAAAUCGCAGUUCGGAGAUUGAUAUUCACCCAUUCCACAGGUAGGUACUUACAUAGCCUGUUUAGGUUGAGAAGAGAGGAAUAUGCAUUGAAUGAUUAAACGUAGUUGUAAUGGGUCGAAGGAUUAAAGAAAGUCGUUAAUGGCUUGAAUCAAUGCAUCCCAUAACGGUCAAGAGGAGAAGAAUCUCAAACGAAACGACACGAACAAAGCUCGAUCCAGAGAUUCAUUACCAAGAUUCUUCUCAAAU
rnacentral:lncRNA from 1 species